rnacentral:rRNA from 1 species
GACGAACGCUGGCGGCGUGCUUAACACAUGCAAGUCGAACGGAAAGGCCCUGCUUUUGGGGGGUGCUCGAGUGGCGAACGGGUGAGUAACACGUGAGUAACCUGCCCUUGACUUUGGGAUAACUUCAGGAAACUGGGGCUAAUACCGGAUAGGAGCUCCUGCUGCAUGGUGGGGGUUGGAAAGUUUCGGCGGUUGGGGAUGGACUCGCGGCUUAUCAGCUUGUUGGUGGGGUAGUGGCUUACCAAGGCUUUGACGGGUAGCCGGCCUGAGAGGGUGACCGGCCACAUUGGGACUGAGAUACGGCCCAGCCUCCUACGGGAGGCAGCAGUGGGGAAUAUUGCACAAUGGGCGGAAGCCUGAUGCAGCAACGCCGCGUGCGGGAUGACGGCCUUCGGGUUGUAAACCGCUUUCGCCUGUGACGAAGCGUGAGUGACGGUAAUGGGUAAAGAAGCACCGGCUAACUACGUG